CAGCAACUCGUCCAAAUCAAAAUCACUUCUAUUGAAAAAAGCAAACCCUACCCCCUCUUCUCCCCUUCUCUCGACGGCGCCACCAUGCCGCCUCCGCCCUCAACCCUAGCCGCCAGGGCAACAACAGUAGCACCGCAGGGCGUAGGUGGCAGAGCAGGGACGCGGAUUCCGACUGACACUUCGUCGUCAAGCUCUCGCCAUUUGUAACUCCUUGCUCCGCCGACCUCGACGCAAACUACAACUUCUCGCUCGCGCCUAUCCAGGAUCCGCUCUCGCCAUGGUACCGCCCUUUUUCUCGGUCUGUGAAUCCACCCCCAUCUCCCUGCUCCCUCCUGCAUUUGUUGUGGUUCUUGGAAGCAGGUUGCAGGGACGGACCCAAAUAGGGGACCAAGCAUUCCCUUAGAGUUUGCACGCUUGCUGAUGCAGUGCAAGCCUGCAACAUGCAGAGGUGCGCUAGUGCCAGGUGCGGCGAGUCAGCAGAUCAAGGAAACCGCCCGCGGCCGCCCCAGGGGUCCAGGUCUCCUCACGGCGACGGGAGAGCGCGAGCCUGUGAUGACCCGUGGCCGCGGCUAGGGUUCGCCGGGCGUGAGUCGGUAGCAGACCGGCGAAAAGAACGAAGCCAAGGACACCGGUGAGUUGGAUUUCGGUUAUCUGUUUUUCUAUUCCAUCUCAAUCAACCAGUUACAGUAUUUAUAGAUCUGAAAUCCAACUAACAGAACGACUAAUGACUUGGCUAAUCACUUAUUACAGCCCAAAGAAGAUUAAUACGGCCCUAUUAUGGCCCAAACCCUAAUACUCGAAAGACCCCCUAAUACUCCAUACCUGUGCCUAAGCACCGCCACCUUGGGUCAUCACAUCUCCCCCAGCGUCAAAAGACGCUUGUCCCCAAGCGUGCGCUGUAGGAAACCUUACUUUCACCACUUCAUAGUCUUCCCAGGUAGCCGCAUCUGCUGGAAGACCUGUCCAUUUGACCAGCACCUGGACAAUAGCAUUGUUUCCUUUACGUACCAUCCUUCGAUUCAGAAUUUGGUCAGGCUCAACAUCCCCUUGGGACAGAUCAACCAAGAGAGGAAGUUCAGUGUAAACUGGAGAAUAACACGGGUGAAACGGCUUAAGUUGAGACACAUGAAACACUGGAUGCACCUGAGCAUCGGGUGGCAAUUCCAACUUAUAUGCCACUGCCCCAACUCGAGCUAUAAUCUUGUAAGGCCCAAAAAACUUAAAAGACAAUUUAGGACAAGGCCGAUUCACCACUGUCUUCUGUGCAUAUGGUUGAAGUUUUAACAGCACCAAUUCUCCUACUUGAAACUCUCUUGGUGUUCUGCCCUUAUCAGCAUAUUGCUUCAUACGCAACUGUGCUCUAGCCAACUGUUCCUUCAACAUGGCAGAAAAAGCACUCCUUUCCUUGACCCACGUAGUGACAUCCGGGUCCUCAAUAUUGAUGAGUCUAGGAAGGGCUAGCAUAGGAGCAUCAUAACCAUAUAACACCCUGAAUGGUGUACAACCCAAAACAGCAUGAUAAGUGGUAUUGUACCAAUACUCCGCGAGAGCCAACCAACUCUUCCAUUUGGUGGGCUGAGAAUUGACAGCACACCGGAGAUACAUCUCCAAGCAUUGGUUCACACGUUCACUUUGGCCAUCAGUCUGUGGGUGAUAGGCUGUAGACAUCAACAGCUUGACCUCCAUCAACUGAAACAGGUUCUUCCAAAAACUGCUAGUGAACACUUUAUCCCUGUCAGAUACCAGCGAUUUGGGUACUCCAUGUAGCUUAACCACAUUGUCCAGAAAGACUUGUGCAACACCCUUUGCAGUAAAAGGAUGUUUCAAAGGAAAGAAAUGGCUAUAUUUCGAAAAUCUGUCCACCACCACUAAUAUUGUAUCAAACCCUUCCGACUUAGGCAAACCUUCAAUGAAAUCCAUAGUCACAUCUUCCCACACACCCUGUGGUACCGGCAAAGGUUGUAAUAACCCAGCUGGAUGAGUUCUUUCACUCUUAGCCUUUUGACAAAUUGCACACUGUUGCACAAACUGGACCACAUCUGCCUUUAAUCCCCUCCAAUAAAACACUUUCUUUACUCGUUGAUAAGUUGCCUGAGUACCAGAAUGACCACCAAUGGCACUAUCAUGCAAAGCUGCCACCAACUUGGUUCUCAGAGCAGAAUUAGCACCAAUCCAAAUCCUGCCUGCCUUACGAAUAAUGCCUUGAUACAAUGAAAACCCAUUCUCAUCAGGACUGCGCACCAACAAUUGAGCUAUCAACUGUUGAGCUUCAGCAUCAGUAGCAUAAGAAUUCAGCACCUCCUGUACCCAAACUGGUUGCACUUCAGAAAUGGCAGCCAAGUCCAGUACUGAACUCCUCCUUGACAAUGCAUCAGCAACGACAUUCUCUGCCCCCUUUUUAUAUACAAUCUGAAAUUGCAAUCCCAUUAACUUGGUCAUAGCCUUCUUUUGAAGAUCUGACUGCAAUUGCUGGUCUCCCAAGAAUGUCAAAGAUUUGUGAUCUGUCUUAAUCACAAAUGCACCCCUCUGCAAAUAUUGCCUCCACUUAUCUACAGCCAUAAUCAAAGCCAAAAACUCCUUCUCAUAUAUAGAAAUAUGUUUGUUCUUUUCUCCCAAAGCUUUACUAAGAAAGGCAAUGGGUCUGCCCUGUUGCAUCAACACCGCUCCGAGACCCACAUCUGAUGCAUCUGUCUCGACUGUAAAAGGCAGAUCAAACCUGGGCAGAGCAAGAACCGGUGUUGAAGCCAUAGCCUGUUUCAACUUAUGAAAAGCAACCUGAGCAUCUUCAGACCACUGAAACACCUGUUGUUUCUGCAACAGCUUAGUAAGAGGUCGAGCAAUAAUACCAUAAUCUUUCACAAAUUUCCUGUAAUAGCCUGUUAAACCUAAGAAUCCCCUCAACUCCGUCACAUUCUUAGGUUGUGGCCAGGACAACAUAGCUUCAGUUUUACUAGAAUCUGUGGCCACCCCAUCUCUUGAAAUCACAUGACCCAAAUAUUUGAGUUCAUGCUUCACAAAGGAGCAUUUCUUCAUCUUUAAGAAAAACUGGUGCUCUCUCAGCUUGGCCAACACCAUCCUAAUAUGUUGAUAAUGCACUUCCAAACUAGGGCUGUAAAUGAGAAUAUCAUCCAAGAAAACCAUAACAAAUUUUCUGAGAAAAGUCUCCAACACUGAGUUCAUGGCACACUGGAAACUAGCUGGUGCAUUAGUGAGACCAAAAGGCAUCACUCGAAACUGAUAAUGGCCAUGAUGUGUUUUAAAAGCAGUCUUGUAUUCAUCCUCAGUUCCCAUUCGAAUUUGAUGAUAUCCUGCUGUCAUGUCAAGACUGGUAAAAUACUGUGCACCAGCUAAUUCAUCCAGGAUCUCAUCCACCAUAGGCAUAGGAAACCUGUUCUUUAUAGUCAUUCCAUUUAACUUCCUGUAAUCUAUACAGAACCUCCAGCUGCCAUCUUUUUUUUGCACAAGUAAAACUGGAGAAGCAAACGGACUUACACUAGGAACUAUCAACCCUGCUGCUAGCAGUUCAGUAAUUUGCUUUUCAAUCUCAGUUUUGUGAGCUGGAGAAUAUCGAUAAGGCCUUGAGUUUACUGGAAUAGACCCUGGCAACAGAGGAAUGUGAUGAUCAUAAGGUCUGAUUGGAGGCAAUUUCGAAGGCACAGCAAAAACAUCUUCGAAUUCCUUUAAAAUCUCCUGUAGAACUGCAUCAUUUUUCCCAAUUGUUUCUUCUGAAACCUGCUCUAAAAGCACAAAUACCCAGACUUCCUCUCCCUUCAUCCAUUUCUCCAGCUGCAACACAGAUACUUGUCGCACUUCCUGCACUUCUCUAGCACCACCCUGUAACCUGACCUUCUUCCCUUGAUCAGUAAAGGUUAAUACCUUGUUAUUCCAGUCACACUCCAUAGGACUGUGAGCCUUCAGCCAAUCAUACCCCAGGAUCACAUCAUAUGCUUCCAAGUCUAACACCCUCAUAGCAGUGUUGUACAGGUGCCCCCCAGAACUCCACACUACUUCCUUAACUCUUUUGUCACUGAUCAUAGCUGCUCCAUUUGCCACCUUAACCCGCACAGUGGAACAAUCUUCAGUGAUCAACCCCAAUUUUGCUACAAUUCUCUGGCUGAUAAAAGUUGCAGAGCUACCAGAAUCAAUGAGCAUGACCAACAUCUGAUCCUGAACCAGAGCUUGGACCCUCAUACAUCCAUCACAUUCCGUGCCACUAAUAGCAUUCCAGGACAACUGAUGUAACUCCUCCACACACUUCUCCUCAUCUUCCAACUUCUGCAAUACCUCAUCAGUCAAAACCAGGCCCAUAUCUUCCACGGUCAGAUUAUGCAGUUGAGUUACCACCCUCUUGGGACAUUUUGCUUGAUGGCCUGGCUCAAAUUUAUCUCCACAAAUAAAACACAACCCAUUCGCUCUUCUAUAUUCUCUCAACUGUCUUUCCUUGCUCAACUCAGGAUACAAUAUUCCUGCCCUAUUCUCCCCCCUUACUCCUGCAACCUGAGUUUUAAGAACUUGUCCCUUUUGGUUUCUAACUCUAUUCUUCUCUGCAAUCUCCUGAUACACCUUGGCCAACCUCUUCGCCUUAUCCACUGUCUUAGGCAUCCGAGCCAUGACUUGAUUCUGAAUUUCAGGUUUCAACCCUUUAAUAUAGUGUGUCACAAACAGGGUCUCACCUAACUCAGGAUUAUGCAGGGUAGCAACAUAUCUAAUAUCAUCAAAAGCUUGAGAGUACUCCUCCACUCCUUGCUGCUGAGUCACAUUAACCAAAUCUCUCAUAGCUUGAGGGUAUUCAUCCACUCCAAACUGCUCCCUAACUGCUUGUGUAAACUGCCCCCAAUCACCCAAUCCAUGUUUCAGCUUAUACACUUGUAACCACUUCGACGCAUUCCCCUCCAUGUGCAUAGAAGCUGAACUCGCCCACAACCACUCCGGCACCUGGUAAACAGUGAAAUAAUCAACACACCGAUCAAACCAGACUCCCGGAUCACUGCCCUGAAACUUGGGAAAUGUCCACUUCGGAAAUGGGCCUGUCCUAUUCUCUCUUCCUCCACCCCACUGCUCUCUACGAUCUCUUCCACGCUCCAUUCCUCCACCCCGAUCAUCCCCUCGAGGAACACGCAGCUCGCGCUCAGAGUUUGUGUCAUUACCUUCCUGCUCCUUCGCUUGCAAAUCCAAUCGCAGCUGCGCAAUAGUUCUCUCGUUCUCCUCCAUGUGUCGAGCCAACAGUGCUCGAUCUUCCUCUGCCUUCUUCUGCCCGAUCUCCAUCGCUUCCAUCUUCCCGGUCAACCGUUCCACCGCCAGCAUCAUCCGCUCCCAGCGCUCCUCCCCUUUUUGCUCGGUCCCCGCCAUUGCUUCCAGGAUCAGCCGCGUCUGAACGGAUGGCUUCGUGGAAGGCGCCGUGAUGCCCACCCUCCGAGGAUCAACAGCUCUGAUACCACUUGUGAUGACCCGUGGCCGCGGCUAGGGUUCGCCGGGCGUGAGUCGGUAGCAGACCGGCGAAAAGAACGAAGCCAAGGACACCGGUGAGUUGGAUUUCGGUUAUCUGUUUUUCUAUUCCAUCUCAAUCAACCAGUUACAGUAUUUAUAGAUCUGAAAUCCAACUAACAGAACGACUAAUGACUUGGCUAAUCACUUAUUACAGCCCAAAGAAGAUUAAUACGGCCCUAUUAUGGCCCAAACCCUAAUACUCGAAAGACCCCCUAAUACUCCAUACCUGUGCCUAAGCACCGCCACCUUGGGUCAUCACAGAGCCAAUGUGGAGCGGUUAGUUGGUCGCUGCUGCCAAUUGUUCUGCGCUUAUAAAAUUUCAAGGUUGUUACAUUUGAAUUGUUAUUGGAAAUUUCAAGGUCAGUAGCAGUGCUCGAUUGAUUUCAAGUACAUGGUAUUUCCCCUCCGUCCUAAGGCAUGUAAUUAGCCCCAAUUGAAACUUCUUGGUUUAUUUCAGUGCUCCAGUAUAUUUAUUGCCAGAGAUAAAAGCAUAUGCCUUGGUCAGUGACUUAAGCUUAGAAAAAGUACAAUACUUUAUGUAUGAAUUCAGAAAUCCCAAUGAUAUUCAUUCUGAAUAUGUGCAAAUGCAGGUAACUUUGGUCUUGCCAAUGUAUUGACAUCAGAUGAUCUUGUGUCUUCUAUAAGUAUACUUGAAAAAUUUUUAGUCUUGCAUUUAUUUGCUGGUGUUUCUUGUUACCGUAUUUUCUCCAACAAAGGUGGUAGUAACACCGAGUUAUAUGUGCCUAGAACUUCUUGCUGAUAUACCAUAUGGUACUAAAUCCAAUAUUUGGUCUCUAGGUGUGUACCACUUCAGUGUCAUAAACUAUGUUUCUGCACCUAGAUAGAAUGAGCUUGCGAUCUAAUACUUGAAUUUUACAGAAUGUUGCAUUUGACAAAUGACUACUCUCAGGCCUGCAAACUGCACAUUACAACGUGAAGUUGGUUAUUGAAAGGGCGCCCAUAGCUGCAAACAUAGCUGUGACCACAUGAUGAUGACGAUUUACUACAGCAGGCACUUGCAAUGUCAAUGGAGGGUGGUGCUUCAGGAUCUGCAGCUGUGACUGACUCUGCUAUGGCAGAAGCUAGUGCAGUUGACCCUGACUUAGCGUUGGCUUCCUGGUGUUGAUCCCAAUGAUCCAUCUGUUAAAGAUUUGUUGGCAUCAUUGCACAACCAGGGAGAGCAAGAGAAGAAGGAAGACAAGUAAGACAAAACAGAAGACGAGAAGAACUGCUUCAAGCUGGAGUGAUGUCGCUGUGGUGCUUUUGUGACUGAUCAUCUCUGGAGCUUUUGUGAAUGAUCUAGCUAGCUAUUUGUAAAUGAUCUA